UUAAAAGGAAAACAUAGUUUAAUGAUUGCUACAAAGUUUCAUCUAGAAGCAAUCUCAUGGCCUUCCUCUACUUUUCUUUGCUGGAGGGGAAGUGAUAUAGGGACAAUGUCCUCGGGACACUCUACCGCGGAUGGGCAGCCCGCGCCUCCCAUGGCUGCCGCGGGAUGACACAUUGUGGACCCUGGUGUCAGUUGUUGUGGUUGCAGUGAUUUGGCUGGUGGGUUGAGG